AGCAUUAUAAACUCCCAGACUUACCAUUGAGUCACUGGAGAAACGUUAUAGAAGAAAUGAUUUAAUUCAAUAUCGUUAGGAAUAAAGAGUGUUAUUUCUUACCAAAUAAUCCAAAACGGUAGAACAUGUUACAACAACGCUCACCAAGUUUCCUCUUCAAACUAAUAUACCACCCAAUAAAACUAAAAGAAAAGUCAGUAGUUACAAAUCGUCUUCUUACACAUGUCAAGGCAGUAAAUUGUAGUCAUCAGCUAUUGUUUGAUAUGGAUUACAUUACAUUGCUGUAUCACAAAAAAAAAACUAGUUAUUUCUUCACAAUUUUUUUCGACAGAUUAAAACAUAUACAACACAGGAGAGUUUGUUUCUUUGUUGUUAAGCGCAAAACUACACGAUCGGUUAUCUGUGCUGUGCCUAACUCGAUUUUCAGCGGUGUGAGCCCUCAGACUUACCGCCGAGUCACUGGGGAACACACAGAGAGAAAACUUUGAACUGAUGCAGGUUUCACGUAGCACGUGGUCGAGAAAGCCUUUCAAUUGAUUUGUUCUAAGCAACCUUUGUUCUUUUGUUGUACUCGAAGUGGAUAAUACCUGUUACGCCCUGAAAGGAUAUUUCGCAAUACUACACAUUAUGUAAGGAUGUUGAGAGCAGUGUCCUUCAACGGUAGUUCAGAUGAUAUAUAGAGGUUACAACCCCACCUGUUUUGUACUGAGAAUGACCAUGUCACGUGGAGACGCUAGUCGCCCUGGGUAAAUGCUAAGAAACGUUACAUUUGUUCAGUAUAGUCUAGAGCAUCAUGUUGAUUUAUUCAGUACGAAAGAAAGAGUUAACUACAAAAGGUAUCCAGUCAUGGAGACAGUAUAUACACUAUGUGUGUGUAUUUAAUGUUUAAUAAAGAUUGUGAAUUUUGUAUUACA